UUCCCACAGCAUAUGGGGAACCUACACCGGUUAAAGAAAGCAGUGUGAUUAGAUGGUGGAAAAACUCUCAGUACUGGAAUGAAUAUGCCAACUCACAGUCAAGUGUCUCCUCUCCAUCUUGGUUUCUGCAAUUAGACAACAAAUUGAAAUAUUUGACAUUCUUUUAUGCAGGGAUUCAUCAACUGGACAGUGACGGCCCACCACUCACCACUAAGGAGUAAGAAAUUCAGAAUGAUUAAACAAUCUACCAUGACGAAGCAAAUGAAUGAGGAAACAGAGCUUCCUGUGGAGAAAGAUCAACAGAAUCAACAGAAGAUUGACAUUUGAAGAAAAGAAAUGCUUAAAUGUAAAAUUUCAGUGAGAGAAUUAUUAAUGCUUUUAGAUUUUUAUAACAGGGAUCAUGGCACAAAAGACAUGUCAAUGUAAAUUCUAAAAAGGUUUUAAACUUCUCUGGAUUUCAGAUUCUUUUGCAUAACUUAUUUCACAGUGAAAUUUCAGUGUUUUGUAUCAAAUUAGGUUUAUUUAGUUCACAUGGUCACAAUGCAUCGUGUUGAAAUGAACAUCAAAUAACCAUAUGUCUGAACAAAUAACAACAUUUUAGGAUGUGUACUUACACAAAACUGUACAUUUGUAGAU